rnacentral:rRNA from 1 species
UACGUAGGGAGCAAGCGUUGUUCGGAUUUACUGGGCGUAAAGGGCGCGUAGGCGGCAUAUUAAGUCAUCUGUGAAAUCUCCGAGCUUAACUCGGAACUGUCAGCUGAUACUGAUGUGCUAGAGUGCGGAAGGGGCAAUCGGAAUUCUUGGUGUAGCGGUGAAAUGCGUAGAUAUCAAGAGGAACACCUGAGGUGAAGCCGGGUUGCUGGGCCGACACUGACGCUGAGUGCGCGAAAGCCAGGGGAGCAAACGGG